CCUACGGGGGGCAGCAGUGGGGAAUAUUGCACAAUGGGGGAAACCCUGAUGCAGCGACGCCGCGUGCGUGAAGAAGUCUCUCGGUAUGUAAAGCUGUAUCAGCAGGGAAGAAAAUGACGGUACCUGAUUCAGAAGCCCCGGCUAACUACGUGCCAGCAGCCGCGGUAAUACGUAGGGGGCAGGCGUUAUCCGGAUUUACUGGGUGUAAUGGGAGCGUAGACGGCAGAACAAGUGUGGAGUGAAAUGCCGGUGCUUAACUCCGGAACUGCUUUUGAAACUGUGCGGCUAGAGUGCAGGAGAGGUAAGCGGAAUUCCUGGUGUAGCGGUGAAAUGCGUAGAUAUCACGAGGAACACCGGUGGCGAAGGCAGCUUACUGGACUGUAACUGACGUUGAGGCUCGAAAGCGUGGGGAGCAAACAGGAUUAGAUACCCGGGUAGUC
rnacentral:rRNA from 1 species